AGGUGAAGUUGCCAACGAUGGUCAUUCAGACUUGGCCGUGGGUGGCUCUAACAUCCAUAACUAUGACCUGGGUGACUGAGAACCUUCACAGAUACCUCGAUACUGGACUGUUUCGGUCGAUACCUUAAAUAUCCCGUGGUUAAAUUCCUCGACCGAAGAGAGAGGAAAAGCCUAUCCUCAGAAAAUCCUAACAAAAGUCAACCCACGUAUCCCAUGCAGCCUAAGAAUCCUGGGAAAAUACAAGCAGCCCACCACCUCAUCUCUGCCACCCCCCGGCAUUCUGAGCGGAGCUGAGGACGUGAUCUCAGAUAAAACACUUUCAUUGUAGCUGUGUGUUUGUGUAUUUGGUUAUCAGAAAAAUGCCAUACACCACUCUGAAUGUGGCUGGGUGUUGUCUGUCUUUCAUAGGUGCUGAAAUAUAAAACUAUGGCGAUGA